GAUGAACUGUGGGUAGCGGAGAAAUUCCAAUCGAACCCGGAGAUAGCUGGUUCUCCCCGAAAUAGUUUUAGGACUAGCCUCAAGUUAGAUACCUGGAGGUAAAGCACUGAAUAGCCUAGCGGCCGAGAGGUUAGCGAAGCUUAUCAAACUCAGAAUGCCAGAGUAUUGAUGCUUGGGAGUCAGACAGUGUCAGAUAAAUGUCAUUGUCAAAAGGGAAACAGCCCAGAUCUACAGCUAAGGUCCCAAAGUCAGGUUAAGUGGAAAACGAUGUGAAGAUACGCAGACAACCAGGAUGUUGGCUCAGAAGCAGCCACUCAUUCAAAGAGUGCGUAAUAGCUCACUGGUCGAGCGUCUUUGCGCGGAGAAUUUAACGGGGCUAAACCUGACACCGAAGCUUAGGCAAUACAGCAAUGUAUUGGGUAGGGGAGCGUUGUAUACGCGGAGAAACAGUAGCGCAAGCGGCUGUGGAGUGUAUAGAAGUGAGAAUGCCGGAAUGAGUAGCGCGAAUGCAGUGAGAAUCUGCAUGGCCGAAAGCCUCAGGUUUCUGGAGGAAGGUUCGUCCGCUCCAGGUUAGUCGGGAGCUAAGGUGAGGCCGGAAGGCGUAGCCGAUGCACAGACGGUAGAGAUUCCGUCACCACCAAAAGAGUUAAGCACAGGGACACAUAUGAAGUCUCAGAGCCGGGUGUUGGUUCCGGUAGAGAUCGAGGGAAAUUAGUACCGAAGUCUGAGAUGGAAGAUGGCGAGAAAAGCUGUGUGUAUUUCUGAGGUGCCCGUACCGCAAACCGACACAGGUAGGUAGGAAGAAGAUUCUAAGGCCAACGGGAGAAGGGUUGUUAAGGAACUCGGCAAAUUGACCCCGUAACUUCGGGAGAAGGGGUGCUCCAGAGAUGGAGCCGCAGAGAAUCGGCCCAAGCAACUGUUUACCAAAAACACAGGUUUGUGCUAAAUCGAAAGAUGACGUAUACGAGCUGACGCCUGCCCGGUGCUGGAAGGUUAAGAGGAGAUGUGCAAGCAUUGAAUCGAAGCCCCAGUGAACGGCGGCCGUAACUAUAACGGUCCUAAGGUAGCGAAAUUCCUUGUCAGGUAAGUUCUGACCCGCAUGAAAGGCGUAAUGAUUUGGGCACUGUCUCAACAGCCCGCCCGGCGAAAUUGUAGUACCGGUGAAGAUGCCGGUUACCCGCGACAAGACGGAAAGACCCCAUGGAGCUUUACUGUAGCCUAAUAUUGGGUUUCGAUGUUGCAUGCACAGGAUAGAUGGGACACUGGGAAACAAUCGCUUUGGCGGUUGCGGAGUGGCCGUUGGGAUACCAUCCUUGCGAUAUUGGAAUUCUAACCUGCGGCUCUGAAUCGAGUCGGGGGACAUUGUUAGGUGGGCAGUUUGACUGGGGCGGUCGCCUCCUAAAGAGUAACGGAGGCGUUCAAAGGUUCGCUCAGCUUGAACGGAAAUCAAGCAAAAGAGUGCAAACGCAGAAGCGAGCCUAACUGCGAGACUGACGGGUCGAGCAGUAACGAAAGUUGGAGUUAGUGAUCCGGUGGUAUGUGAGUGG
rnacentral:rRNA from 1 species